rnacentral:lncRNA from 1 species
AUUUAAUUCACCCCCCUUCAGCAUUAACACUCCCUGGGAUUCCUGCUGAGGAGUUUCUGAAGAAACACAGGGCUGAACUCAUUCAGGGAGUCAAAAACCCAAUGCCAAUAGCAGAUGAUCUGUCGUCAAAGAGCAUGAUUGGUGAUGAAGAGUACUCCAGAAUAAAAGCUGAAACAACUGAACAGGACCGAAUGAGAGAACUACUGAAUGCAGUCCUCCCUAAAGGACCAGAAGUGACGGGAGCUUGUCUCAAAGCUCUCAUUGAACAUGAACGCCAUCUUGUUAAGCACUUGAGUGAAUCUAGCACCUAAUCUGAAGAUGCUGAGGCCUGUCUCCUAGUCUGUGGACAAAGACACUUCUUCAACUAAUCUGAAGAUGCUGAGGCCUGUCUCCUAGUCUGUGGACAAAGACACUUAAAUGAUUCUAGCAAGCGUCCCACCUAGCCCAUAGAGGUUAACAGAGUCUGAGGACAUGAAUGACAGCCUUGUGGAUUCAGCUGCCAUGGACACUGCAGUGGAUGAUGAUGCUGAGUAGAGAACAAGAGUGUGGGUGUCAGAGUUGCCUUCUGAAGGAACAGGUGACACAAGCCUGGAGGGUGAUGUGCGAUCCUUGGAUGCUCAGGAUAUUCCACCUUUGGAUUCUGUGGAAGACACACUGCAGCUGGAAGGUCUGCCUCGAUCAGAGAGUCUUCAAGAAUCUGACCGAGACCGUAACAGUGUAGUGAGUGAGCUAAUUGACCAGUCUGCUUACGAUAUCCGUACUGACCUACCAAACUCGGACCAUUCCUUACCUGAUCAGUUACGCACUGCCUGUGUUGACAGACCCACUAUCGCAACAGUACACAACACUGUUACCCCUUAUGCAGUUGAAGGUACUCGGGGUUGUAUUAGGUCAAGGGCAGGAAGACUAUUUAGACCAGUGUCUAGACUGAUUGAGAUUAUGAAUCAGCAGAAAGUUAGCUCUUGAAGGUUAAUAUUUGAAUAGAGAGGGUCAAUGGUAUUGACAUCUUUUAUUUGUUUUGUUUUUACAUCAUCGUGACCAUGAUUAGAGAUGGCAGGAUGGUAAUGUGACGGAUAUGAUAAAGCCUCACAUGGUAGUUUAUUUUAUUACUUGGAUGUUUUAAAGUCGCUGAGUGUACUUAACAUGUAACAGUCAUCUUUACCUAUGAGAGCUAAGGGGAUUGAUCAACCACUUUUCACUCUAAUUCUCAAGGAGAAUAGUGUAAUGACUGGAGUAUUUAGUGACUGUUUUAAAGCAGGGUCUGCAUCCUCGAUAUACACAGCUUUACCAUUUAGUUUUCUCUAUUGGGUAGUAUAAAAACAUAUCUAUUUUUUUUUUUCUUCUCUGUGGAUUAUUCUGUACAUAUGUUGAGUGUAUCUGUACCUGGUGUGUUUGCACAGUGUGGUUUUGUAUUUGUAUUAUUUUUCUUUGCAAGUGGAAUUCAGUAGGGGGGAGUGUAACAGGGUUAUAUUGGUGAUUCCCCUUGCCACUUUAUUGUUAAGCCAAUGGGUU